GUACUGGAGCAUAAUUUCACUGAAAGCCUCCAACAAAUAAUCAAAGUUCUUGAGAUUUUCAAACGUCAAAAUCGGUAAUCGGUAACACCCUUGAAAACUGAAAAUCGUUGAGCGAUAUGUUGGGAUCGAGGAGUCAAAUUCUAAAUCAGUAAAUCGGAAGCAGAAAGAAGUUUAAUUAUUUAUUGAACAUAUGAGUUCUUAUUUCUGUUUUUUUACUAUCUAUACUUUUAGUGAGUAGCAAAAAGAUCUCUUGACAUCUUGAAAGGGGAAAACAUAAACUUUGGACAUGUUGUAUCUUUUUGUUGCUUAAAUUUUAUAAUUAGAUUUGUUGAGUUAUAUAUAUGUUUCUCUGGAAACAACCAUAAGGUGCUGCUCAAAAUAGAAAACAAAAAGAGAACAAGAAGAGUGGAGUAUGCAAGAAUAAUAGAUAUGUUCACUAAUGUUUUGGUUGUGUAUAUGAUAUUGUUGAUUGUGCAGGUUAUGGUUGCUUCUGCGGAAGGAAAUUUUUCAAAAUUGAAGCUCUUGAAAUUGUAUUUUUACCAUGACUCAAGAAAAGAUUGAAUAUAUUAGCAUUUUUAAGUAUUGAAAGUGAUUUUUUUCAAAAUAUUAAUUAUUGUAAAAUAAGAGAUGUUUUAGCUUCAAAAAAGUACACAAAGACGUCAUUUUAGGUGAUUUUUGUAGGUUUUUUAUUCUACUAUUUGUUUGAUUAUAAUAUUUACUGCAUUUUUUAUUUUAUAAAUAUUUUAUAGACAAGUUUUCUUUA